rnacentral:rRNA from 1 species
CCCUCCACUUUGGGAUAAUCCCGGGAAACCGGUGCUAAUACCGAAUAUUGAAAUAUAAGUGGCAUCACUGAAUUUUGAAAGAAUUUCGGUGGAGGAUGACUUCGCGGCCUAUCAGCUUGUUGGUGAGGUAAAGGCUCACCAAGGCGACGACGGGUAUCCGGCCUGAGAGGGCGACCGGACACACUGGGACUGAGACACGGCCCAGACUCCUACGGGAGGCAGCAGUGGGGAAUAUUGGGCAAUGGACGAAAGUCUGACCCAGCGACGCCGCGUGAGGGAUGAAGGCCUUCGGGUUGUAAACCUCUUUCAGUAGGGAAGAAGCGAAAGUGACGGUACCUAAAGAAGAAGCACCGGCUAACUAUGUGCCAGCAGCCGCGGUAAUACAUAGGGUGCAAGCGUUGUCCGGAAUUAUUGGGCGUAAAGAGCUCAUAGGUGGUUUGUUGCGUCGGGUGUGAAAUUCAGGGGCUCCACCCCUGACCUGCACUCGAUACGGGCAGACUAGAGUUUGGUAGGGGAGACUGGAAUUCCUGGUGUAGCGGUGGAAUGCGCAGAUAUCAGGAGGAACACCAAUGGCGAAGGCAGGUCUCUGGGCCAAUACUGACACUGAGGAGCGAAAGCGCGGGGAGCGAACAGGAUUAGAUACCCUGGUAGUCCCGCGCCGUAAACGAUGGGCGCUAGUUGUGGGGACCUUCCACGGUUUCUGCGACGCAGCUAACGCAUUAAGCGCCCCGCCUGGGGAGUACGAUCGCA